GAAUAAGUAACAUCAUAAAGUGCUCAAGUAAUUGAGAUAAUAGGGAAGCUCGUGAAAGUCGAGCGCAGCCCCCGCUACUGUAAUUGCUGAUGAAAUCAUAAAACCACUCGUGUAAACCGGGGAAGGUAUGAAAGUAAGAAGAAGCAAGAGCCAGGAAACCUGCUUUAUAAUGUAAAACUGA
rnacentral:ncRNA from 2 species